rnacentral:sRNA from 6 species
AUGUACCACUCAUCCGGCUCGGCUUCUGUGCGCCGCCCUGACCCGCCUGAUGACUGCUCGCUACUUUGUUUUAGCC